rnacentral:rRNA from 1 species
GAGGGAUAGCCCAGAGAAAUUUGGAUUAAUACCUCAUAGUAUGUGAGAAUCGCAUGGUUUUCACAUUAAAGUCACAACGGUAAAAGAUGAGCAUGCGUCCCAUUAGCUAGAUGGUAAGGUAACGGCUUACCAUGGCAACGAUGGGUAGGGGUCCUGAGAGGGAGAUCCCCCACACUGGUACUGAGACACGGACCAGACUCCUACGGGAGGCAGCAGUGAGGAAUAUUGGACAAUGGGCGCAAGCCUGAUCCAGCCAUGCCGCGUGCAGGAUGACGGUCCUAUGGAUUGUAAACUGCUUUUGUACAGGAAGAAACACUCCCUCGUGAGGGAGCUUGACGGUACUGUAAGAAUAAGGAUCGGCUAACUCCGUGCCAGCAGCCGCGGUAAUACGGAGGAUCCAAGCGUUAUCCGGAAUCAUUGGGUUUAAAGGGUCCGUA